rnacentral:rRNA from 1 species
AACGAACGCUGGCGGCAGGCCUAACACAUGCAAGUCGAACGCUCCGCAAGGGGAGUGGCAGACGGGUGAGUAACACGUGGGAAUCUUCCUGUUGGUGCGGAAUAGCUCAGGGAAACUUGGGGUAAUACCGCAUAAGCCCGAGAGGGGAAAGAUUUAUCGCCGACAGAUGAGCCCGCGUCUGAUUAGCUAGUUGGUGAGGUAACGGCUCACCAAGGCGACGAUCAGUAGCUGGUCUGAGAGGAUGACCAGCCACACUGGGACUGAGACACGGCCCAGACUCCUACGGGAGGCAGCAGUGGGGAAUAUUGGACAAUGGGCGCAAGCCUGAUCCAGCCAUGCCGCGUGAGUGACGAAGGUCUUCGGAUUGUAAAGCUCUCUUGGCGGGGACGAUAAUGACGGUACCCGCAGAAUAAGCCCCGGCUAACUUCGUGCCAGCCGCCGCGGUAAGAC